UGGCCAAUAGCAGAGACCUCUUUCCUUUUGCAUCAAAGAAGAUGCUGCAGAGCUCCUUUAUGCAGUACAGGACGCUGUGCAGGACCCUCUAUGCAAUACCAACACACCAAGCAAUCUUUAUGUUGCCUGUUAGCAGUCCUGAAGGUUACUGCAUGGUUGAAAUGGCUGCAGACAGAAAUCCUCCUGUACAACACAGACUCCAUCUCUCUUAUCAGGCAUCUCAGUAUCAGAAGAUUAUUUCUGCAUGGUAUGUUUUAAGUUGUUUUGAACUUGAGAAUUUGAACUGUGAUUGAACAUUCACUUUAUAAGUUUGUUCACUAGAAGACAGGACAAUUAAUUAUAGGUAGGCUAAUUAUUACAUGAAUUGCAUUGCAUGCACUGUCAGUAAUA
rnacentral:lncRNA from 1 species